UACGUAGGGGCUAGCGUUGUCCGGAAUCAUUGGGCGUAAAGAGCGUGUAGGCGGCUCGGUAAGUCCGCUGUAAAAGUCAAGGCUCAACCUUGAAUGUCAGUGGAUACUGCCGGGCUAGAGUCCGGAAGAGGCGAGUGGAACUCCUGGUGUAGGCGGUGAAAAAUGCGCAGAUAUCAGGAGGAACACCGGUGGCGAAGGCGGUCUCUGGCGCGUACUGACGCUGAGGAACGAAAAGCGUGGGGGAGCGAAACAGGAUUAGAACUACC
rnacentral:rRNA from 1 species